AAAGUCAAAUAUUUCGCUGGCCGACGAAAAUAAGUUUCUCUUCAUCAAUUACUAUGACCACGUUUGAGAGUGGAACAGUAACUCAUCACAAACAUUUUUUUAUCCCUUUCCUAAGUGUGUCAGACAUGUAUUCUGAGAUGAGUGAUACGCAGCUGGACGCCCUGGUGCUGGAGAUCCACAGGAUCCAUCUGUGUGGAUACCGAAUGUUGCGAUACCAUCUCCAGGGAAGAGGCCAUCUGGUCCAAAUUCACAGAGUACGCCAAUCCUUAAAAAGAGUGGACCCAGAGGGCACAGAACAAAGAGCCCUGGCCAACCGAACUCUACAUAGGCGGCAAUAUUCAGUUCCUGGGCCCAACUGUAUGUGGCAUAUUGAUGGCAAUCACAAAUUAAUACGAUGGAGAUUUGUUAUCCACGGUGGGAUAGAUGGCUUCAGCCGCCUAGUGGUGUUCUUGUCAGCAGCCACCAACAACCGUACCACAACAGUGCUGGAUGCUUUUCUUGGAGCGGUCAGGCAGUACGGUGUGCCAUCUCGUGUCCGAGAGAGAACUUUGAGGUGGCAUAUUAAAUGGUGGACAACUGCGGACCCAACCGCAAUUCCCACAUAACUGGGAGGAGUGUGCAUAAUCAAAGAAUUGAGCGACUUUGGAGAGAUGUUUACACACAAGUGCUCGAUCUCUUCCACACUCUCUUCCACGAAAUGGAAGCAUCAUGGAUGUUGAAUCCAGACAGUGAGAUCCACCUCUUCGCUCUCCACUGGGUUUUCCUGUCAUUGGUCCAGAGCCAUCUCAGGCAUUUCCAAGAUGCCUGGAAUUUUCACAGCCUGAGGACUGAAAAUAGCCAGUCACCCUACCAGCUGUGGCUACGCAACAUAAGUGCUGUUGCUGAUCCCCCAGAGGUUGACGAUCUUUAUGGUGCCAGUGUAGAUGGUCCGGACCUGGAAGACCUGGCUGGAGUCGACAUUCCGGAGAUCCAACUACCACGUGACCUGACUGCUGAGGAGCUCUCACGAUUGCCUCAGCGAAAUGUUUCACUGAAUGACGCUAUUGCUGUUUACAGCUCAGUUGUUGAGCAGUUACAUGACAUCUUUCAAACAGCAUGAUGUUCUCUCCAAGGAUUUGUAAAUAUUUGUUAAUAUUUGUAAAUAUAUAUGAAUCUACCUUCCCCUUUAAA